AAGCUUAUGAUAUUAUCUGCACUCUUUGUGGCUGUUGGGUCCGCCACAUUUGUCUGAUCUUCGAAUGAAAUAAUGAAAUUUAAGUGCAUCUGAGCUU
rnacentral:snoRNA from 1 species